UUUAAUUUUUAAAACUUUUUUGUAAUGGCAGAAAAGGAUAGUAACGUAGUAAGAGUUAAAAAAGAGUCGUAGGUCGGUAAAAAUCCUAACGAAAUUACGUCUGCUCUAGCAACUGACACUGGGAUCACCACAGUUGGAUGAGCAGUUGUAGGUCAAAGUAUUGCAGAAUAUCAUCAGAGAGGUUAGUGACUGCAGAGCACAAGUGCGAGUUGGAGUAAAAAGAGAUGGAGAAGACCAGGAAGACAAGUGAGAUACACUAAAAGACCACUCCAGCUU